GGAACGUUAGCUGCUGAUGACGCACGCUAUGCGUGCCAGCAGUCGCGUAAUACGGAGGGUGCAGCGUAUCGAUACCUGGGCCGUAAAGCGCCACGCCAGUCGUUUGUUAGUCAGAUGUGAAAUCCCCGGGGCUCAACCUGGGAACUGCAUCUGAUACUGGCAAGCUUGAGUCUCGUAGAGGGGGGUAGAAUUCCAGGUGUAGCGGUGAAAUGCGUAGAGAUCUGGAGGGAAUACCGGUGGGCGAAGGCGGCCCCCUGGACGAAGACUGACGCUCAGGUGCGAAAGCGUGGGGAGCAAACAGGAUUAGAUACCCUGGUAGUGCACGCCGUAAACGAUGUCGACUUGGAGGUUGUGCCCUUGAGGCGUGGCUUCCGGAGCUAACGCGUUAAGUCGACCGCCUGGGGAGUACGGCCGCAAGGUUAAAACUCAAAUGAAUUGACGGGGGCCCGCACAAGCGGUGGAGCAUGUGGUUUAAUUCGAUGCAACGCGAAGAACCUUACCUGGUCUUGACAUCCACGGAACUUUCCAGAGAUGAGAUGGUGCCUUCGGGAACUGUGAGACAGGUGCUGCAUGGCUGUCGUCAGCUCGUGUUGUGAAAUGUUGGGUUAAGUCCCGCAACGAGCGCAACCCUUAUCCUUUGUUGCCAGCGGUCCGGCCGGGAACUCAAAGGAGACUGCCAGUGAUAAACUGGAGGAAGGUGGGGAUGACGUCAAGUCAUCAUGGCCCUUACGACCAGGGCUACACACGUGCUACAAUGGCGCAUACAAAGAGAAGCGACCUCGCGAGAGCAAGCGGACCUCAUAAAGUGCGUCGUAGUCCGGAUUGGAGUCUGCAACUCGACUCCAUGAAGUCGGAAUCGCUAGUAAUCGUGGAUCAGAAUGCCACGGUGAAUACGUUCCCGGGCCUUGUACACACCGCCCGUCACACCAUGGGAGUGGGUUGCAAAAGAAGUAGUGUAGCUUAACCUUCGGGAGGGCGCUCACCAUCUUUGUUUCC
rnacentral:rRNA from 1 species